rnacentral:rRNA from 1 species
AUUGAACGCUGGCGGCAUGCUUUACACAUGCAAGUCGAACGGUAACAGGCCGCAAGGUGCUGACGAGUGGCGAACGGUUGCGUAAUUCAUCGGAACGUGCCCAGUCGUGGUGGAUAACUACUCUAAAGAGUAGCUAAUACCGCAUACGAUCUAUGGAUGAAAUCGGGGGACCGUAAGGCCUCGCGCGAUUUGAUCUGCCGAUGUCAGAUUAGGUAGUUGGUGGGGUAAAGGCUCACCAAUCCAACGAUCUGUAGCUGGUCUGAGAGGACGACCCGCCACACUGGGACUGAGACACGGCCCAGACUCCUACGGGAGGCAGCAGUGGGGAAUUUUGGACAAUGGGCGCAAGCAUGAUCCAGCAAUGCCGCGUGCAGGAAGAAGGCCUUCGGGUUGUAAACUGCUUUUGUACGGAAAGAAACGGCUCUGGUUAAUACCCGGGGCUAAUGACGGUACCGGAAGAAUAAGCACCGGCUAACUACGUG